UAAUACGAGGGGGGCGAGCGUUGUUCGGAAUCACUGGGCGUAAAGCGUGCGUAGGCGGUUAUAAAAGUUAGAAGUGAAAGCCCAGGGCUUAACCUUGGAAUUGCUUUUAAUACUAUAUGACUAGAAUUCGGGAGAGGAUAGCGGAAUUGUCAGUGUAGCAGUGAAAUGCGUAGAUAUUGACAGGAACACCAGUGGCGUAAGCGGCUAUCUGGACCGACAUUGACGCUGAGGCACGAAAGCGUGGGGAUCAAACAGG
rnacentral:rRNA from 1 species